rnacentral:lncRNA from 1 species
CGAUCAGAGGUCUGCGUCACUAAUUGCCGGCCAAAAUAGUUGAAUUAUAAGGAACAUACAAUCGAAAAGCCGCGAGGAAAUUUGAAGAGGGAAAAAGUACGCUAGACAAACUGGUGGUUUCUAUUAGAAAUUAUACACUGCUAGUCUACACAAGGUUUAUAUACAGGCAAAUCCAACGUAGUUUAUACGUGAUACAUAUGCUGCAGCAUCAUCCUUAAUUUUUUUUUUCCCCGUAGCUGUAGGGAAUGUAAUACGCCAUAAUCUAGUAGUAAAGACGCUAAAACAGGGGAUCCAAACCCAAAUCUCUCACUCAUCGUAGACCUCUAUACUAAAUGAGGAACGGGAGUUUGUCAAAGCCAACUCUGGAGCCGCUGCAUGUGGUCUCCAAGCUUAAUCAUAAUCACUGCCCAAAGAGUAGAAGAGUUAGUGAUGCCAUACCGGGAAAGGGCCACUCAGUAAAUCUACAAAUAAAUCUUUCACAGUUCUGCUACACCAGGCUGCAUUAGACCUCAGGUAGCUAUCCGUUUCCUUAACAGCAACUAUAAUGAAAGAACAAAUGCAGAGGCGAUUAACACACACUGGAUGCUUACCUCAGGGUAACAGUUUUGGUGCUCGAUUGUCUGAUUGUGGAUAUUUACAUUAACCUCACAUGACACUUUCCCCUGCAGAACACCAUAAGCAAGCACAUCAUAAAUCAGGGGCACAUAUCAUCUGGGGAAGCAUGAAAAGGCUAAUCAUGAAGUCCCAUUUGUUACGUCUUCCUUGGGUGUUAUGCUUCGGUAACAGAAGAAUAGGAGGACCAGCCAGAGCCAGCCCACCCCACGCAACUUAAAAUAGACGUGUUCUGUGAAGGCAUUAUUGGACAUAUACUUCUGUCAAAAUUGACAAGCAAUGUACAUUAAACAAAAGGAUUAAUCUUUAUAUACUGCCAAGUUUGGAUGCACGGCAAAAAAUCUAAAUUUGAACUUCAAAUCCAAAUUUUGCAUAUGUUUUAUGCAUCUAACCAUGAUAACAUAUACAACGUCAAUGUAUACAAGAUUUUCUCUAUACAAAUUGUGAACAAUACAAAAGAAGGCCCAAGGGAGCUUAACAGAUGAUGCUUUCUCAUUUUAGAUACGAUUCCCACAAGACACGAAUGAAGUUUCACCGAGCAUCAUAGAUUGCAUUUCAGAAUGUCUGGAUGCUGGCAUGGACGAAAGAGUCCAUAUGCUAGUACCUAACAAUACUCAAAAACCUGCUUCUGUUUAGUGCAUGCACGGAUGCUUACCAGCCAAAACUCAUUUCUGUUUAUAGGAACUUUAAAAACUUCUAACUACUACUUUACUUGUUCACAAUUUGCAGCAAGUUAUACCGGUUAUAUCAGUAAUUAGUGUUCUUGCUUAUACAUUAAUAGACUUACAAGAACCCAACGUCUGUUUGGCUGGUAACCAGAGCAUACUACGGGGGAAGUUGAUUCUCUUUGUUUCAAUUUUCACUGCAGAUACACUCAACCAUGUAAUUUCUCUCCACCUUCUAAUGCUACUACAUUCUGAAGCUUAACGAACGCCACCGAGAAAUUGUACUACAAGGCAAAUUGAGACUUCUUUUCACCUCUUCCAACCCGCCCAUGUUACGAUCAGAGGUCUGCGUCACUAAUUGCCGGCCAAAAUAGUUGAAUUAUAAGGAACAUACAAUCGAAAAGCCGCGAGGAAAUUUGAAGAGGGAAAAAGUACGCUAGACAAACUGGUGGUUUCUAUUAGAAAUUAUACACUGCUAGUCUACACAAGGUUUAUAUACAGGCAAAUCCAACGUAGUUUAUACGUGAUACAUAUGCUGCAGCAUCAUCCUUAAUUUUUUUUUUCCCCGUAGCUGUAGGGAAUGUAAUACGCCAUAAUCUAGUAGUAAAGACGCUAAAACAGGGGAUCCAAACCCAAAUCUCUCACUCAUCGUAGACCUCUAUACUAAAUGAGGAACGGGAGUUUGUCAAAGCCAACUCUGGAGCCGCUGCAUGUGGUCUCCAAGCUUAAUCAUAAUCA